UUUGUACUCCCUCCGUCCCAAAAUUCUUGUCUUAAAUUUGUCUAAAUAUGGAUGUAUCUAGUUACAUUUUAGUGUUAGAUACAUCCGUAUCUAAACAAAUGUAAGACAAGAAUUUUGGGACGGAGGGAGUACUAC
rnacentral:pre_miRNA from 1 species